rnacentral:rRNA from 1 species
UACGUAGGGGGCUAGCGUUGUCCGGAAUCAUUGGGCGUAAAGCGCGCGUAGGCGGCCCGGUAAGUCCGCUGUAAAAGUCAAAGGCUCAACCUUUGAAUGUCAGUGGAUACUGCCGGGCUAGAGUCCGGAAGAGGCGAGUGGAACUCCUGGUGUAGCGGUGGAAUGCGCAGAUAUCGGGAAGAACACCCGUGGCGAAGGCGGUUCUCUGGGACGGUACUGACGCUGAGACGCGAAAGCGUGGGGAGCGAACAGG